rnacentral:tRNA from 1 species
GCCUGGGUGGCUCAGUCGGUUAAGUGCCUGACUUUGGCUCAGGUCAUGGUCUCAAAGUUUGUGAGUUUGAGUCUCACAUCGGGCU